rfam:Schistosoma rodhaini strain Burundi genome assembly, scaffold: SROB_scaffold0002278
AUCGAGCUGACGAGUCCCAAAUAGGACGAAACGUGCGUCCUGGAU